AACGUAGGUGGCAAGCGUUGUCCGGAAUUACUGGGUGUAAAGGGAGCGCAGGCGGAUUGGCAAGUUGAAUGUGAAAACUAUGGGCUCAACCCAUAGACUGCGUUCAAAACUGCUGAUCUUGAGUGAUGUAGAGGUAGGCGGAAUUCCCGGUGUAGCGGUGGAAUGCGUAGAUAUCGGGAGGAACACCAGUGGCGAAGGCGGCCUACUGGGCAUUAACUGACGCUGAGGCUCGAAAGUAUGGGGAGCAAAC
rnacentral:rRNA from 1 species